GGGUGAGGGCAGGUGGUU
rnacentral:miRNA from 1 species